rnacentral:rRNA from 1 species
GACGAACGCUGGCGGCGUGCUUAACACAUGCAAGUCGAACGGAAAGGCCCUGCUUUUGUGGGGUGCUCGAGUGGCGAACGGGUGAGUAACACGUGAGUAACCUGCCCUUGACUUUGGGAUAACUCCAGGAAACUGGGGCUAAUACCGGAUAGGAGCUCUUGCUGCACGGUGGGGGUUGGAAAGUUUCGGCGGUUGGGGAUGGACUCGCGGCUUAUCAGCUUGUUGGUGGGGUAGUGGCUUACCAAGGCUUUGACGGGUAGCCGGCCUGAGAGGGUGACCGGCCACAUUGGGACUGAGAUACGGCCCAGACUCCUACGGGAGGCAGCAGUGGGGAAUAUUGCACAAUGGGCGGAAGCCUGAUGCAGCAACGCCGCGUGCGGGAUGACGGCCUUCGGGUUGUAAACCGCUUUCGCCUGUGACGAAGCGUGAGUGACGGUAAUGGGUAAAGAAGCACCGGCUAACUACGUG